UACAGAGGUCUCAAGCGUUGUUCGGAUUCAUUGGGCGUAAAGGGUGUGUAGGCGGCGCUUUAAGUCGGGUGUGAAAUUUCGGAGCUUAACUCCGAAACUGCAUUCGAUACUGCGGUGCUUGAGGACUGGAGAGGAGACUGGAAUUCAUGGUGUAGCAGUGAAAUGCGUAGAGAUCAUGAGGAAGACCAGUGGCGAAGGCGGGUCUCUGGACAGUUCCUGACACUGAGACACGAAGGCCAGGGGAGCAAACGGG
rnacentral:rRNA from 1 species